rnacentral:rRNA from 1 species
AGGAACAGCAAGCAACAUCGAUUGCUGCAGUAAUGGCGAAUGAACGAGCAGGACCCACGGCUCUUCCUGAAAUUGGGACUCCUGACUCGAGGGCACCAACCAUCCAAACGCACCCACCCGAGCAAAAGGUGGCGCUGCGGGGAAGUGUCUCGAUCGGCUUUCGUUGGAAUCCAGCAAACACUGUGGGCUAUGGAGCGGUUGGCUGCGUCCGGGUGUUCCCAGUGCCAAGAAGAGUCCUGGAAUGGACCCACAGAACAGGGAGACUGUCCCGUAUGGCACCCGUGCACUGGGAUCCACCUGGGUGUGGCUGGCCGCAUCCCCGAGUAGAGUGGCUUGGGACUGCAGUUUGAAGAGCGAUGUGUAUCCAUCGCAAGGAGGCAUACAGACCUGGGACCGAUAGCGCAGAAGUAGAGUGAUCGAAGGAUGCAAAGAACUCCGCGAAGAGGGUUAAAAGCCCCUGAAGCCGCAGCAGGAACGGUGGUGUGCAGUGCUGUAUCCGCUUUCUAGAUUCUUGUCCAAGCGACCCUGGGUCAGCCCAGGGCUGGCCACCGAGCUCCCAUCCCCAGAUGGGAAUGACCAUCGUGGCAGCCCUGUUUGGUGGCAGCAACGCCCUGCCAGGACCCGGGGCUCACCAGUGCAACGGCAGUCUUCAUCAGUCGAUAUUGAUGUGGCUCUGGACGCGAAAAGGCAAAAACCCGACGCGUGCGGGGAAAGCAGGCAAAACCCCGCUGUGGGACAACAACAACGGCGAAGAGAGAGAGAAGUUUCUUCCGGGGUUGGUUCCCCCGCGGGGUCUGCUCUUCCCGUCGUGUCGUGGGGCUUGCUUUCGAUGCGAAUUGCUGCUUGUCCUCUCGAUCCCGGUGCGUCUUCGGACGUGUCGGUCGCUGGCUGGUCGAUCUGGAUCCGGGGUGUGCUUGGCUGCAUCGGGGGCUGCACCGUUCUGACGGUGGCCACCGUGCUUGGCUGCACCACUCCCCAGCUUGGCCCCAGCGAGAAAUGGCAGCGGAGCUUGGCACCCUCCUCGCAGUGCUGCUCUCUGCCCGUCUCGAAACACGGACCAAGGAGUCUAAGGAGCUUGCUUGUCGGAUGGCUGAUUCAAAACCUCUUCUUUGAGGCGUGGUGAAGGCAACCCACUUCCAGAUGGGCUAUAAUCUCUGCAUGGAACGACCGGACCCGCAGUCCAGUGGACAGGGUUUUGAGUGCUUGCAAGGUCCUUGGGACCCGAAAGGUGGUGAACUAUACCGUUCUACGAUGAAGCCAUGGGAAACUGUGGUGGAAGUCGGUCGCUGUUCUGACGUGCAAAUUGUGUAGCCUGAGUGCGGCAUAGGGGUGAAAGGCCAAUCGAGCCACCUAGUAGCUGGUUCCCUUCGAAGUUUCCCUCAGGAUAGCUGGGAUCCAGGGAUGCGAAGAUCGUUGAAGACUGGUUGCAUCCGGUAAAGCAACGCAUGAGAGGCCAACCCUGGGGAGCCCAGCUCCUCAACCUAUCCUCGAACUGUGAAUGGGUGCGGACAACCCAGGCACGCUUCUUCGCCACGACCGGAGCCUGUGUCACAGCAGUUCUCCCCGUCUUUCUGAGCGUGUUCGUCCCAAUUGUGAUGGCUUUCGCUGCCAACAACUGCGUGGGUGGUGGAGCAGACAACCACGGGGGAGAGGAGAAGGAGGGGCCCCGGCGGCUUUUCGGUGGUGGUUUCUGCCCGCGGCGUCGGCGGCCGUCCGAGAGAAGAGAGAAGACUCUCGGCCCCGGCACGCGGCAAAACCAAGCCCAACAGAAGGGCAGCCACCGUUCUGCCGUCGCUCUUCUUCCCCCCUUUCCCCGACCACCGCCCCGCGGAACCCUGUGUGGUCCGAACAACAGCGCAGCGCGUUGCGUGGUGCGGGGUUUGCUUGCAGCCCCAAGCCCCAACCGCCCAAAGUCCUCGCAAAGUCGUUGAACAAUGGCUCCUAUGUGGACCAUGACUGGUAAGCAGUGCUGGUGAUGCGGGGUGCUCCGAGAGCAGACUUACAGAUCCAGAGUGUUGGCUCAUACUCAGAUCCCACAAAGGAUGUUGCUUACUAUGGAUAGCAGGUCGGUGGCCAUGAAGGUUGGAACCCGCUGAGGAAUGUGUAACAACUCACCUGCCGAAGUGCGCAGCUCCGAAAAUGGAUGGUGCCUAAGUCAGUGUCUCCCUCACAGUCUGCCAGCGAUAUGGCAGCCAAGGCAGAGCAUCGCUGUGUAGAAAGGGCAUGGAUGACCGCUGAUCGUGCUGGGAGUGCUCCCGGCUUGAGGCGUCACCCAGAGCAGAUCUUGGUUGUAGUAGCGAGUACUCCACCGAAUGAGGAGUGGCAACACAACUCCGCUGUGUGCGAUUGAGGACUGGAGUGGAGCAGGUUUCCACACCAAACAGCCGUUGAAUGUGGGUCAACCGACCGUGAGCCAAGUGGUAAGUUCACCGAACAACCAAAGCUGCCUCGAUCCGAAGAGACACGCUCCUCCUCCCGUGUGUCUCCCGCAGUCUCCCGUCCUGAUUUCCCCGCCGGACCAAACAACCCACGGCCGCACCGCGACGAGAGAAGAGCGAGAAGCAAAAAUCGUCGUCGGUGGUGUGUCGUGGGCGCGGCUGGGGCGGUUUGUGGCGGCGAGACACGCGGGUUUUGCGCGGGGGAGAGCGUGGGAGCAGCGGGCAGGAAUGGCAAACAGGCAAGUGCGAGCAAGAUUCUACUGUCAUGGGCUAGAGGUCUCUUUGGGCGGCGGCGACGCCCCCAAGGCAGCCCCUCCAGGCGUCGAACCAGUGAAUCCCCUGUGGAGUUCUCGUUUCCUCCUGAUGCAGACUCACGCGGGCUAUCGAUCGGCAUGACAGAUGGUGGUGUACGCCCUUCGCUCAGCAAGGCAGUGUGGUCUCCACACUGAUGGCAGUUAUCAACGUUUCCUCCGAAAGUCGACGACGCAGCUCCCUUCCCAGAGAGCGGUCGCGUGACGACGAAAGAAGAGCGGCAGUCACUGGUUCCAAUGAACAGCCUGCAGGAUUUUCGUGCCUCAGGACCCUUGUGUCCGUACUGCAUCACCGCAGCCGGUCUCCUCGACUAGACGUCGCUUGUCCACGGACGAAAUGCAGCUAAGGGAAGUCGGCAAACUGGCCGUGCACCUUUGGAAGAUACGGUGGCUCCAGAAGCCAAGUCAGCAGGCCCUGUUGAGGGAGUUGUGCGGCACGCAUUGGACGAUCUCCCUGUGGGACGGCCCCUCGCGGGCUGUUCUGUGGGGCAGCUUCGCCUUUGCCCGCGCUUCAUUCCGAACAGGGGCAACCCCGUCCGGUCCCCGUGGCCGGGCGCGGGCCGACCUGCUGUCUAUCCAGUGGCUCAUGUGGAACUGUUGCUGUGCAGGGGAAUCUGACUGUUUAAUUGAAACCCAGCUUUGUGAAGGGACCAGCUGGCUGGUUCCAUGAGGUGACUUCUGCCCAGUGCUCUGAUUGUCAAUGCGAAGAGAUUCAGCCAAGCGCGGGUAAACGGCGGGAGUAACUAUGACUCUCUUAAGGUAGCCAAAUGCCUCGUCAACCAAUUAUUGACGCGCAUGAAUGGAUCAACGAGAUUCCUGCUGUCCCUAGUCGCUGUCUGGUGAACCAACAACCAAGGAACCGGGCU